rnacentral:rRNA from 1 species
CUACGGGAUGCUGCCGUGAGGAAUAUUGCACAAUGGGGGGAACCCUGAUGCAGCAACGCCGCGUGGAGGAUGACGCAUUUCGGUGUGUAAACUCCUUUUAUAUGUCAAGAAAAUGACGGUAGCAUAUGAAUAAGCACCGGCUAACUCCGUGCCAGUAGCCGCGGUAAUACGGAGGGUGCAAGCGUUACUCGGAAUCACUGGGCGUAAAGGACGCGUAGGCGGGUUGGAAAGUCAGGUGUGAAAUCCUACAGCUUAACUGUAGAACUGCACUUGAAACUUCUAAUCUAGAGUAUGGGAGGGGGAGAUGGAAUUAGUGGUAUAGGGGUAAAAUCCGUAGAUAUCACUAGGAAUACCUAAAGCGAAGGCGAUCUCCUGGAACAUUACUGACGCUAAGGCGUGAAAGCGUGAGGAGCAAACAGGAUUAGAUACCCUGGUAGUC